AUAAACUGAAUCAAAAGAUUUCUGAUUUUAAAGUACUCCUUCACAAGUACAACCUCACAUCCUUGUGAAGACUCCAUUUCUGGUUUAUUUGUUCACAAGUAUAACCUCACAAGUACUCCAUUUCUGGUUUAUUUGUUCUUACUCCUUCACAAGUACUCCUUCAUCGUACACACUCUGUCUUCCUUCACAAGGAUGUGAGGUUGAACGGUGUGUUUUCUCCAUUAACGUCGAUCGACGGGCAUCGUGUUCAGAGUUCCUAACUUCACGGUCCCAUCGCUGCCGUCCAUUUCCUAUUCUACGAUCCGGAACGGUUGAAUUUCAGAUCCAGACGUUUAUGUAUUGGUAUAUAUAUGAGAGAGAAAGAGGAGAGAGAAAAUGAAUGAGAUGAAUUUAAUUGGUGAGGUAUGAACUGUCAGUUCAACAGCAGAAAAUAGACAUUAAUGAUGGUGGAAAAAGAAGGGUAUAGAAGAAAAAUAAAUAGGUAAAAUAUUUUUGAUUUUAUAGAACGUUAAAUAUUUAAAAAAAAAAAAAUACUCUAAAACGUCAGAUGUAAUAAAAUGGAGGGAGUAAUAUUAAGGGUGAAAAUUUCUUAAGACAAUGAGAGAAUGUAG
rnacentral:lncRNA from 1 species